GAUGAACGCUGACAGAAUGCUUAACACAUGCAAGUCGACUGUGGCGGACGGGUGAGUAACGCGUAAAGAACUUGCCUCACAGUUAGGGACAACAUUUGGAAACGAAUGCUAAUACCUGAUCCUGUGAGAGAGAUUUGCGUCCGAUGAGCUAGUUGGAGAGGUAACGGCUCACCAAGGCGAUGAUGGGUAGCCGGCCUGAGAGGGUGAUCGGCCACAAGGGGACUGAGACACGGCCAUUACUCCGACGGGAGGCAGCAGUUGGGAAUAUUGGACAAUGGACCAAAGUCUGAUCCAGCAAUUCUGUGUGCACGAUGAAGUUUUCGGAAUGUAAAGUGCUUUCAGUUGGGAAGCGGUACCAACAGAAGAAGUGACGGCUAAAUACGUGCCAGCAGCCGCGGUAAUUC
rnacentral:rRNA from 1 species